CUUUAAAAAGCUUAAAACAAAUCACUCAGCAAACAACAUUUACACACAGAAGACUUCAACAGACACCGCUGUGCUGGAUUAUUUACAAGAAACUGUCCUGGUUGAUUUUGUGGUACAGAUGUAAUUUCUGUCAAGAAGUAGAAUUCUUUCUGGACAUGCCACACAGAACUGACCAUGGGGAGCUGACACCAACCAGAAGCCAAACACCCUCUUCAACGCCUCCCCAUCCCCAACAGGACAGGAGAGAGAGCAGGAAGAACAAAAAUGAGAAAACUCAUGGGUCAAUAAAGAUGGUUCAAAGGUGAAGGAAAGAGGGGAAAACAACAAGCAAUGCAGAAGAAAUCACUCAUCUCCCACAAACUAACUGAUGCCUAGUCAGUCUCUCAAAAACAGUCACCUUGGAAGUCAACACCCCUUGUGCUCGCCACGCUGUUGCUUCCUCCUCUGCCUCCAGUUUUUAUUGCAGAAUGAUGUUAAUGGUAGAAAAUAACCCUUUGUCCAAUUUGUUUCAUCUGUCCAGAUGGGUGCCCUCCCAGUCUCUUGUCCACCCCCAGUCCACUGUUCGGGGAGGUCUGAGCAGGAAAAAGAGACUGUUCAGCAACAGCUCAAACAUGGGGGAGCUUCGAGGUCCAAGUCCAUGCAGUCUACAGUCUACACAAAUUUUUUGACUCAAACAAAAGCAAGCUAAAUAACUCCCAGCACGUUCACCACAAGAAGAAUAUAUAAUUUGGAAAACCCUUGGAUUUAAGGGACCAAUCAGCAGUGCUCCAAUCAGACCAGAGUUAAAAUCCACUGCCAUGUUCUCAUGAGAAUAGUAAGCGUAAGUAAGACAAGGAAGGUCAGCUUCUCUUGGACCAACUUCUUCUGAUAUAUCCCACACAUAUGUGU